AUUUGAUUAAUGUGGAUAGUUAUGGGUAAAAUACGCAAAUAUUUCAAAAUAAGCAAGUGGUUAUAAAAUAUUCAUUGUUGUCGGGGAAUAUUCGUUUAGUCGUGGAAUAUUCGUACUGUCGGGGAAUAUUCGUACGACAGCGCAGCCAUGUGUGGGCCCCAUAACGGAAAGCGAUUGGAUGAAAAAAACGACAAAUAUAAGUUGUUUAAAAAUAACGGCGUAGUUGUUACCGUUAAUACUGUUAAAAUACUCGGUGGUUAAAACACAGUAGCACACGGU
rnacentral:lncRNA from 1 species